rnacentral:lncRNA from 1 species
GAAACCUUAUUGUACAAAUCAUCUUUUUGGCCCUUUCUACUUCAUCAGUCAGAAUUCUUUCAUUUGCUUUCAGCUUUCCAAAUAUUUAUUGAAUUUACUCAUCUCUUGUUAUUUUCCCUUCUGUUAUUUUCAUUUUGUUUUUAUAAUUUAGACGGAGUCUUAGAAAAGAGAGAAUAUAAACUCAAAUGAUCAUCUGCCAUCUUGAUCUAAAAGGGGGAUACUCCAGACGUAGAGGAGUAUGAUUUACACUAGAGUCCAUCAGGGUCCCACUGGGUGGUCCAGGCUGGAGUUCAGUGGUGUAAUCUCACCUUACUGCAACCUCUACUUCCCCAGCUCAGGUGAUCUUUCCCACCUCAGCCUCCCACAUAGCUGGGACUACGGGCAUGCACCACAACACCUUGCUAAUUUUUGUAUUUGUAGUAGAGAUGGGGUUUUGCCGUGUUGCCCAGCCUGGUCUCGAACUCCUUGGCUCAAUCGAUCCUCCUGCUUCGGCCUCCCAAGAAGCUUCUUAUGAGUAUUAGCAGAUCCUUUUGCCGUGGAAAAAGAACAUUCAGUUUGAAAUCAG